UAGGGAAUCUUCGGCAAUGGACGAAAGUCUGACCGAGCAACGCCGCGUGAGUGAAGAAGGUUUUCGGAUCGUAAAACUCUGUUGUUAGAGAAGAACAAGGACGUUAGUAACUGAACGUCCCCUGACGGUAUCUAACCAGAAAGCCACGGCUAACUACGUGCCAGCAGCCGCGGUAAUACGUAGGUGGCAAGCGUUGUCCGGAUUUAUUGGGCGUAAAGCGAGCGCAGGCGGUUUCUUAAGUCUGAUGUGAAAGCCCCCGGCUCAACCGGGGAGGGUCAUUGGAAACUGGGAGACUUGAGUGCAGAAGAGGAGAGUGGAAUUCCAUGUGUAGCGGUGACAUGCGUAGAUAUAUGGGGGAACACCAGUGGCAAAGGCGGCUCUCUGGUCUGUAACUGACGCUGAGGCUCGAAAGCGUGGGGAGCAAACAGG
rnacentral:rRNA from 1 species